CGAGGACACCACCAGCUUCCUGAAAGUACCCGCAGACCCCGUCACUUUCAG
rnacentral:ribozyme from 1 species